rnacentral:rRNA from 1 species
GCUUCUCUUGAGAGCGGCGGACGGGUGAGUAAUGCCUAGGAAUCUGCCUGGUAGUGGGGGAUAACGUUCGGAAACGGACGCUAAUACCGCAUACGUCCUACGGGAGAAAGCAGGGGACCUUCGGGCCUUGCGCUAUCAGAUGAGCCUAGGUCGGAUUAGCUAGUUGGUGGGGUAAUGGCUCACCAAGGCGACGAUCCGUAACUGGUCUGAGAGGAUGAUCAGUCACACUGGAACUGAGACACGGUCCAGACUCCUACGGGAGGCAGCAGUGGGGAAUAUUGGACAAUGGGCGAAAGCCUGAUCCAGCCAUGCCGCGUGUGUGAAGAAGGUCUUCGGAUUGUAAAGCACUUUAAGUUGGGAGGAAGGGUUGUAGAUUAAUACUCUGCAAUUUUGACGUUACCGACAGAAUAAGCACCGGCUAACUCUGUGCCAGCAGCCGCGGUAAUACAGAGGGUGCAAGCGUUAAUCGGAAUUACUGGGCGUAAAGCGCGCGUAGGUGGUUUGUUAAGUUGGAUGUGAAAUCCCCGGGCUCAACCUGGGAACUGCAUUCAAAACUGACUGACUAGAGUAUGGUAGAGGGUGGUGGAAUUUCCUGUGUAGCGGUGAAAUGCGUAGAUAUAGGAAGGAACACCAGUGGCGAAGGCGACCACCUGGACUAAUACUGACACUGAGGUGCGAAAGCGUGGGGAGCAAACAGGAUUAGAUACCCUGGUAGUCCACGCCGUAAACGAUGUCAACUAGCCGUUGGAAGCCUUGAGCUUUUAGUGGCGC